AGUCUUUGAGCCAUUUUGAGUUUAUUUUGUGUAUGGUAUGAGGGUGUGUUCCAGUUUCAUUAAUUUAUAUGCGGCUGUCCGGUUUUCCCAGCACAACUUGCUGAAAAGACCAUCUUUCUCCCAUUUUAUAUUCUCACCUCCUUUGUCAAAGAUUAACUGACCAUAGAUGUCUGGAUUCUCUAUUCUGUUCCAUUGGUCUGUAUGUCUGUUUUGGAACCACUACUACGCUGUCUUGAUUGCUGAGGCUUUGUAAUAUUGCUUGAAGUAUGGGAGAGUUAUGCUUCCUGCUUGGUUUUUGUUCCUCAGGAUUGCUUUGACAAUUCUGGGUCUUUUAUGGUACUAUAUUAAAUUUUGGAUUGUUUGUUCUAGUUCUAUGGAAAAUGUCAUGAGUAAUUUGAUAGGGAUUUAUUGAAUCUGUAGAUUGUUUUGGGUAGUAUGGUCAUUUUUAUGAUAUUAAUUUUUCCAACCCAGGAGCAUGGAUUAUCUUUCCACUUCUUUGAAUCCUCUUUAAUUUCCUUGAUGAAUGUUUUAUAGUUCUCAGUAUACAGGUCUUUCACCUCCUUCCUCAGGUUUAUUCCCAGGCUAGGGGUUGAAUCGGAGCUGUAGCCACCGGCCUACGCCAGAGCCACAGCAACACGGGAUCCGAGCCGCGUCUGCAACCUACACCACAGCUCACGGCAACGCCAGAUCCUUAACCCACUGAGCAAGGGCAGGGACCGAACCCGCAACCUCAUGGUUCCUAGUCGGAUUCGUUAACCACUGCGCCACGAUGGGAACUCCUAUAUUAUCUUUUUAAUAUGUUGUUGGAUUCAGCUGGCUAAAAAUUUGUUGAGAAUUUUUGCAUCUGUAUUUAUCAAAGAUAUUGGCCUAUAGUUUUAUUUUUUGGUAGUAUCUUUGUCUGGUUUUGGUAUUAGGGUGAUGGUGGCUUCAUAGAAUCUUUUUGGGAGUGUUUCUUCUGCUUCAACCUUUUGGAAAAGUUUAAGAAGAAUGGAUAUAAUUUCCUCUUUGUAUGUUUGGUAGAAUUCACCUGUGAAACCAUCUGCUCCUGGAGUUUUGUUUGUAGGGAGGGCUUUUAUUACAUAUUCAAUUUCAUUUCUGGUAAUCAGUCUGUUCAGUUGAUCUAUUUCUUCUUGAUUCAGUUUUGGCAGGCUGUAAGUAGCUAGAAAGUUGUCCAUUUCUUCUAGGUUGUCAAAUUUGUUGGAUUAUAAUUGUUCAUGGUAUUCUUUUAUGGUUUUUGCAUUUCUGCAGUAUACAUUGUGACUUCUCCUUUUUCAUUUCUUAUUUUGUUUAUUUGGGUUUUUUCUU
rnacentral:lncRNA from 1 species